AAGUUCUGUUCAAUAGGAUAGCUGGAGGAAAAGCCUACAUUACUGUGGGUGACAUGGUCAAUCGUGAUUUAAAUAGAUCAAAGCCAUUUCAGAUAAAUCCGGACUUGAGAGAACAUUUGAGGUCACUGGAAAAAAAAAAAAUAAAAAUCGACUUUAAUCAGUUCUUCAAAGUGUAUCAGAAAGUAUAUGGUAUAAAAAAAUGAUUUCUGUAAAGAUGUCCUAAUAAUUUUGUGUACAUCCACUAAGAUUAUCCUCCAUGUUUCUCCAGUUUGUAAUUUGACUAGGUCAAAAGAAUUGAAAUCUUCAUAAAGAAAUAACGAUUGUUUCAGAGCAAUAUUACAAUAAAAUUACAACUACGA